rnacentral:rRNA from 1 species
AUUCGCGGCCUAUCAGCUUGUUGGUGGGGUAAUGGCCUACCAAGGCGACGACGGGUAGCCGGCCUGAGAGGGUGUACGGCCACAUUGGGACUGAGACACGGCCCAAACUCCUACGGGAGGCAGCAGUGGGGAGUCUUGCACAAUGGGCGAAAGCCUGAUGCAGCGACGCCGCGUGGGGGAUGACGGCCUUCGGGUUGUAAACCCCUUUCGCCAGGGAAGAAGCCACUUUGUGGUGACGGUACCUGGAUAAGGAGCACCGGCUAACUACGUGCCAGCAGCCGCGGUAAUACGUAGGGUGCAAGCGUUGUCCGGAAUUACUGGGCGUAAAGAGCUCGUAGGUGGUUUGUCGCGUCGUCUGUGAAAUCCCGGGGCUUAACUCCGGGUCUGCAGGCGAUACGGGCAUAACUAGAGUGCUGUAGGGGAGACUGGAAUUCCUGGUGUAGCGGUGAAAUGCGCAGAUAUCAGGAGGAACACCGAUGGCGAAGGCAGGUCUCUGGGCAGUAACUGACGCUGAAGAGCGAAAGCAUGGGGAGCAAACAGGAUUAGAUACCCUGGUAGUCCAUGCCGUAAACGGUGGGCGCUAGGUGUGGGGACCAUUCCACGGUUUCCGUGUCGCAGCUAACGCAUUAAGCGCCCCGCC